AAUUUAUAUGACUGUAGAUUCCAAACGCAGUUAUUGUGGAGUUUCAACAAGACCACAUAUGAGAAAGAAAGAGAGAAAAUAUCUGCAUGUGUCAGUGUUCAAAUGACACCAUCAGAGACUGUUGAGAGUAAGACAAGACCUCUCCUUUGUGACCAGUUAACUGAUACUAGACAAGUAUUGUUCUAGCAGGUAAAAUGACUCGAAGAUAUCUUCAAACUUUAUAUUUUUUAAUAACCCCCAUAAUACAGAAUUACCUAUGGAUGUACAUGUUGGAGUACAUUCACGUGAAAGUAUAGAAUCAGACAUUAUUCAGGCAGACUUUCCCUGUUCCAAAUACUCCUUAAUUGAGGAACUACCUUGACUACUAAUUUUAAAUCACAAUAGUUCCAUGCAGAAGGGAGAGCUAAGUUUUGGGUUACAAAAUUUUGAAAACCACCAUAUAGAACCCACCUAAAAUAUCCAACCACCAACUUGCCACUGGCGAUGGCUGAGAAAGCAGAAGGGAGGCAGAUGUGGUUGUUGCCCAGUUGGAAAUGAUGAUACUAAUAAGACUUUAAGUGAAGUAAGCAGAAGGAGUUUGGGGCAUUUGUUAUGCUCUCCUUGAAGCUCUGUUCUGAGUCCUCCCAGACCUGGCUGGAGAUUGAUUUUCCUUCUGUGCUAGAUAUCCUACGUGAAAAUAACCAUGGCAGUAUUAAUAAUAGCACUGUAGCAGCUGUUUGGAAAGUGAGCACCUUCCAUACCUUAACUUUCUAUUUUGCCUGGUAGAUUGCACUCUUUUCCUUUUCACUAGCAGAUAGUUCUCUGAGUACGAAUCUAAAGAGAGGAGAGCCAAGGCUAUCUAUAUUGCCUAUGGUAAGACAGCAUAGUGAGACAUUUCCUUAAAAAUCUGGGAAUGACUGCAAAUGGCAUUGGGAAUACAAUCAUGAGUUGGUUGCCCCUGAUGGUAGUUCUUCAGGUUCAUGCAUAGGAAGCUCCAAGGGAAGGUUGACUCAUUAGAUGCACCAAAGGUUGGCUUACUCUAAAAAUGAACAUGUCAUGAGCAUGCACACAGGGUUAAUAACAUAUAUUGAGCUUUUCCUAUAUGCUAGAUUCUUUUUUACCUUCUUAUUAAAUCCAAACAACAACGUCCCAGUGAAGAUGUUGUUAUCAACAAGAAUAUAAGCAGAAUGAGUAGCAAUUUGGGUUCACUUGUAUACAAUAAACACUUGGCACAUUUGCUUUUCAAAUGAUUUAAUAAAUGUUAACCUUAUGGAUGAAGAAACAGAGUUUUGCAGAGAUUGAAUACUCUGCCAAAUUCCCCCAGCCAGAUAACGCCAGAACAGGGAAACAGGCCUGACGCUAUGGGGAGAUUUUGUUCCCUGCCAGAGGUUCAGCAUACCCAAAUCCCCUCCCUUGUGUGGGCCCUGGUUGGAGUUGGACACAAGAAAAAUUUGCAUGAGAUAUGGAAGGUAGAAGUGAAGCAGCAGCUGUUAUGCUCAGAGGAUGGACAUAUGGAUGCCAGGCACCAUGACAGUGUCAACUUACACGUCAUCACUUAUCUGCUGGUUCACCUCGUUGGUGUGGGGCAAUGGCUGGGUCCACAGCUUCUCUAGUUUUCAGCAGAUCUCUUCCUUUCAGUUCUUUGAGUCCUGAGCCAUGGCAGGAACCUUGUGCAGCUUCACGGCAAAGGACACCAGUCUCUUCUGCAAGUUAUCUAUAUUGUUGAGGUUGGAGGCCAUGAGAUACAGAUGUGGGUUUUAGUUUGUCUUGUCUCUCUGUUCAUGUCCAGCUUGUCUUCCUGAUUGCCAGCCUUCUUGACCUCUAGUGACUUCAAGGCUACUGCCAGAUGCAAAGGCAACAGCCUCCCAUAGGCUUCUUUAUAAGUUCCCACAAUGCUGUCGAGUCUAACCUCUUCAGUAAACCAUUUAUUUCAUAUCACUUGUGGUGGCUGUGCUUCCAUGAUCAAACUUUAGCUGUUAUGGUUUGUCAGACUCCAAAUUUCCAGGAUACUGCACUCACUGGGAGACUAUGAGGGUGAAGGCACGAGCAGGUUUCAGUGGGACUGGAAUCCUCUGGCUUUAGGAAACUGAGUACUUCCUUAAUCAGAUGCUCAGAGAACAAAGCAAGGGGAUAUACAUGAGCAAAACAGAAAAUUGAGAAGUCAUAUCAAUGUUUCAUUUAGCUUAUGAGAUUACAGAGCUAGUAAUUUCAUGGCCAAUUAUAUGUUUAAGAUAGGCCAAAAAUAAGUUGAAAAAAUAUUUCAGUGGCCGUUUGUGGACAAUAUAAAAAUGACAUUUUUCUGAUUUCUCAAUCAGUGCUUUUCAGUAUCUUAGUCACAGCCUACAUUUACAUGCCAAACAUCUGCAUGGAAAGUGAAAAUAUGCUGUUAUAACCUAGAUGAAACAUCUGGAAGAUGAUAUUUUUCUACUUUUUAUUCAUUUGGUGUCACAUAGAUCUAGGCAUCAACACAUAUCUCUUUUCCCUUAACUUUAAAAAAACAUGAUUUUAUUUUUCAGUGCACUUUUUCUGGAAAACAAUUUUGCAAGGUGCAAGGUAUUCAGAUGAAGUGCUGAAAUCUUGGCUGUAGGAAAAGUUAAGCAUAACCAACCAACACUUACUUCAACCCCAACUGCAACACUUCUGAGACUUACCCUUUGCCAUUUAGCACGUUCCUUUUGCUGUCUGCUUGCACACUAUGUACCCUGGGACUUUCCUGGUUUUCUCUGCCUUCUGCUUUUGGGGUAAUAUUGGUUUAACCAAUAUUAAACCAAGAAGUACAACAUUAGAAAGACCCAAUUUUCUUACAUGAAAGCAAGAAGUUUAUUCAACUCAUUGCUUCACUUUAUUUCUAGGGGCCUUUUCUAGGUCCAGAAAGAAGUUGUCCUUAGCCCUAGACUUUCUGUACCUCUACCCACCCUCCCUUCAGUAUGUAUGUACGUUGUCUGUCUUGAGUGAGAUAAUAUGCCCAUGCAGAUACGCUCUUCUUUGUUUUCUAAGCAUUAGGGUUGCUGAUACACAACAAUAUUUUUUCUUGGUAGAAGUAUGUUCCAUGCAAUAUUUGGGAUAUAUUUUAUGCACAAUUACUUGCUGUUUAGCUAAAAUUCAAAUUUAACUGGGCAUCCUGUAUUUUAUUUGCUAAAUCUGUCAACCAUAGUGUAGAUACUUCUCGCAUCCCCAAUCUCCCAAAGCUCCCAUUUUCUAAAUCCUGCACACUGACAAGACUUUCAACAGUAAGUUAACUUCUGGACAGCUUGCCAGACUCUCCUUGAGGAAUGUGUUUGCCUUCUAGCAUUUGGAUGAAUAAUUUAGUUCUGCCACUAAAACAAAACAUGAAUGGGCAUUUGAUGUAAACAUUAUUUUCCUCACUGCUUUGGCUGAAGAGCUGAAGAGUUAGAAAGGUCCUACCGGCAACAUCCACCUUUCUGAAAUGCACUGCUUGCUCACAGACUUAAGGUGUAGCUUGAGCUGUUUCUGGGUUACACAGCUUUUCUUCUAUUUCCGUUUUUUUCUUCUUCAAAGUUUCUAGUCUUCUUUUCUUACAGAAGUAUGACCUCUCUUCAAGUCUCAACCAGGACCAACAUUUGUGCCAUCCAGAUUUUGCGACCCAGAAAUGGCCAUCUGACCAGUCCAUGGAAGGCCUUCCUAGACUGGAGUGUGUAUUCUUAUGACCCAGAUCACAUAAUACUGACAGAGAGGUAUUUGGCAGUAACAUGGGUAAUAAUGGUAAGGAAGGGUAUAUGGACUACGAUUUAUAAAGGCUUUUUGAAAUUAGCUUGAAAAUAACACUUACUGGGAUUUCCCACAUUUUAAAACUAACAUGCUUAUUGUAGAAAAACAUGCAAAACAUACAAAAGCUAAAAGCAAACAUAACAAAACAAUCACUCACAAAUUCACAUCUUGAGAUAUUCACUGUUGUUAUUUUUGGUGUAUAUUUAUAAUAUUUUUCUAUAAAUUUAUUUGUUGUUUCAAAAAAGUACCAUAUAACACAGAAAUACACAGCAACUUUUUUUUGUGAUUUAGCAAUGGAUUUUGAACAUUUUUUUCUGUGCAGAGUACAUGUGUAUGUCAAUAAUUCUCAAUAUUUUUUGGGUUGCAGAUCUUAUUUAAGAAAGUAAAGCUGCUUCUUUCACGAAAACAACUAUACAGGUACCUAGAGGAUUUGGGUACAAUUUCAGAUCAUUAAAAUACAUCUGUAGAUCCUAAAGAUAAAGAAGUCCUGUUCUAAAGUAUCACAACUAAUUUGAAUGACUGACAUGGGAUAUUUUGAGGCUUCCAGUAAGAAUUUAUUUUAUAUAAGCUAAAUAGGCAAUUAGACAUUUGCUACAUUGGGACCUCAUAUUAUAAGAUUUUGCUUUUUUUUUUUCUUGGAAUUCAGGUUUUUAGGGUAGUGGUCCCCAACUUUUUUGGCAGCAGGGACUGGUUCAUGGAAGACAAUUUUUCUGCUGAGCAGGGGUGGGAGGUGGGCAGGGUUGGGUGAUGGUUUCGGGAUGAAACUGUUUCACCUCAGAUCAUCAGGCAUUAGAUUCUCAUAAGGAGCACACAACCUAGAUCCUUUGCAUAUGCAGUUCACAGUGGCAUUUCUGCUUCUUUGAGAAUUUAAUGCUGCUGCUGAUCUGACAGGAGGUGGAGCUCAGGUGGUAAUGCUCACUUCCCCGCCAUUCACCUGCUGCUGUGCAACCCUGUUCCUAAUAGGCCACAGACCAGUACAUGUCCACAGCCCAGGGGCAUGGCAAGAGGAGACAUUAGCAAAUAUGCAGAUUGUCCUGUUUACAUGUCAGCUCUGAAGACUGUUGAGUUGAUGGGUCUUCCCUUGGUUGCAAGCCAACAGCAGUCAGAAGCAAGAAACCUUGUCUAGAUUUCACAAUAACCUUGUCACAAGUCUCACGUUUCCUGUAGGAAAGCUGAAUUUACCAGCACACUCACUGUGAGUAAAACUGUAACUCUGCUCUGAGCAGAAGGCUUGUGCUGAGGAUAAAAACAAAUUCUCAGUGGAAAUACAAAAUUGAUCUAUUAAUUCCUGGAUGCUAAAGACAAUGAUUUUUUCCUGUCUGGUGGCUGUUUUUCUUUUGUAUGUAACUUUCAGUUUAUUUCCGUAGUUAGGAAAGAGAUAAAGCAACUUGAGAAAGCAUAGGAAGGUGUAGUCCCCUGAAAUCUAAAUGAAGCCUGUUUGGUCUUGCAGUUUCCUGUGCAGGUCUGGCCUGGGGCAGGACUAUAUGGGCAUCUGCAGCCCACACAAUGUAGGAAAAAGACUGGUAGAAUAUUAUCAUUAACUAAAGUAACUAUAGAUGUUCAUUACUGAGCACUUAUUGUACAAUGGCCAUUGGGCUAGGUGCUCUACCUAAAUUACAUUAAAUUCUCACCACUCUAAAAAGUAGGUAUCAUUUUUCUUUUAUGUGGAAGGGGCUGUGCCACUGAAUGGGUAAGAGCACAGACUCUGGCUUUCCACAAUCUCGAUUCAUACAUAUUGGCCUUGUGACCUUGAGAAAGUUACUUAGUCUCCUUGUGCGGCAUUUCUUUCAUCUGUAAAAUGGGGCUAAAACACAAAUUUGAAUCCAGGUCAGAGUUUCUUUUUUAAAUUUAUUUUUUAAUAAAAAAUUUUAAUGAGAUGUAAUUCACAUAUAUUAAAAUUUGCCCAUUUAAAGUGUACAAUACCAUGUUUUUAUUUUUCAUUUUUAAAUUUUAAUUUUUAUUCUUCCAACCUUUUUUUUUUUUUUUUUUUUCUGAGACAAGGUCUCACUCUGUUACCCAGGCUGGAGUGCACUGGGGCGAUCUCGGCUUACUGCAACCUCGGCUCACUGCAACCUCUGCCUCCCGGGCUCAAGUGAUUCUCUUGCUUCAGCCUUCUAAGUAGCUGGAAUUAACAGGCAUGUGCCACCACGCCUGGCUAAUUUUUUGUAUUUUUAGUAGAGACAGAGUUUCACGAUGUUGGCCAGGCUGGUCUUGAGCUCCUGGCCUCAAGUGAUCUGGCCACCUUUGCCUCCCAAAGUGCUGGAAUUAUGGGCGUGAGACACUGCGCCUGGCCUUUCCCACCUUCCACCCUCAAGUGGGCCCCAGUGUCUAUUGCUCCCCUCUAUGUGUCCAUCUGUACUCAAUGUUUAGCUCCCACUUAUGUGGUCAGUGUUUAGCUCCCACUUUAGAACAUGCGGUAUUUGGUUGUCUGUUCCUGAAUCAAUUUGUUUAGGAUAAUGUCAGCCAGGGUUUCUACCCAGGAAAGCCUACUGCCUGAUUCAGUCCUUAGCUAAAUUGUAAAGAUCCCUUUGAUUCCUCCCUCCAGCCCUCCUUUCUCACUACAGCACCCUCUCUCCCUAUCUCCACUAACAAGAUCUUUCCUUCCCUCUCCUUCUUCUCUUCAUAACUUCGCUUGCAACUUCCGGUUUCCAGGCUACAGAAUGCCAGCUUUCACAAGUGUGAGGACUGCUAUGAAAGAGAGGCACAUGCAUAGCAAGGGCAUUUUUAGACCUCCAAAGCCUCAGGAACACAGGAAGUAAUUCUCUAAUAAAUAGAUAUCUGGAAUUGUAACUGGUUGAAGGAAAUACUUGGUGCCAAAUUCCUAUUUAGUGCUCCUCAAAACACACGAUGAUGGAAAGUGGCCUCCUCCUUUUUCUAAAUUAAUUGGGCUUUGAUAUGGGUCUGGAAGAAACUCAUGAGCUGCAGUCUUUCAUUCAGGAACUUAAUAACUUUUGGCCAUAGUUGGAAUGACUUGUCAUGUUUGGGUCCAGCCAAUAGGGAACACAGGUCACAUCUUUCCCUGCAUAAGCCCACAGCCACCCAUGCUGUGGGUAGCUGUCCCUUUCCUUUCCCUUCAUAAAGUGGAUAGGAGGCGAAUAAGGCUGAAUAGUAAUUAUAAACAUCUGGUGGUUACUUUAUGAUUAGGUCAUGUUAAAGAUUUUGGGAAGCCUUCCAUCAGUCUCAGUUAAUAUCUUUCCAAUUAUGUUUACAUUGACAUUUACCCUGGGCCCUGUAACUUCUCAUUAUGCCUUCUGGAGUUAUCCCAUACGCUCUGGGCGUGGUGAGAAGUUCACCAGGGAGGCAAGGAUUACUGCUGCUACUGCUUGAUCAAGGGGAAAGGCAGCCAGCAGUUCCAAGGAGCCAGGAAGGGACUGCCCAGACAUGAAGAAAGAUAAUGUGGUUACUAUUUUGUCAUAUACUUUGGCUUUAUUUUACCUGAAAGUUCAAUGACCAAGAUACUAGAAAAAGUCUUCAUAGCACUGAGGGGCUGUUUCUGAAUUAGAGACACAACUGAUAGUUGGAAGCCUGUUGUUUGUGAGAAAGAAUUGUUUGACUAGCAACACACCUAGCCUCUCUGCAUUAAUCUCCCAAAUGAAAUUCAGAACAGGUAUUGGAAGCCUAGACAUGAAAUGAAAGAAAAAUGUAUGAACUAAGUACACUGAUUGCAUUCAUUCAGCAGGUGUUUUCUUGUUGUCUGAGCAACUUCUAUAUAUUUAGCUCACUGCAUAACAAGGUGCAGAUACAGUGGUAUAUAAGACAUUGUCAGCUGGGCACGGUGGCUCAGGCCUGUAAUCCCAGCACUUUGGGAGGCCGAGGUGGGCAGAUCACUUGAGGUCAGGAGUUCAAGACCAGCCUGACCGACACGGUAAAACCCCAUCUCUACUAAAAAAAAAAAAUACAUAAACAAAGCCGGGCGUGGUGGCAUAUGCCAGUAAUCCCACCUACUUGGGAGGCUGAGGCAGGAGAAUCAGUUAAACCCGGGAGGCAGAGGUUUCAGUGAGCCGAGAUGGUGCCACUGCACUCCAGCCUGGGCAACAGAGUGAGACUCCGUCUCAAAAAAAAAAAAAAAAGACAUUGUCUCCUUUCUCUAAAGCCAUAUGGUUUAGUUGGGUGGUAAGGUAGAUGAUAAAAUAUUUACAUAAAAUUAUAAGUAUAGAAAAUGAAGCAUAUACUCUAAGUAAUACACAAAAAUGUCUCCUGAUAAGCCUUUUAUUUUGUGUUUGGUGUAAUUUUUUAAAGUGACAUGUUCAUGUUUUUGAAUAAAUUUUACUUACGUCUUUGUGUUUUUAUGUACUUUCCAGUGGAAAAUUAUUAAAAAUGUUUUCCCAGCAAAUCAACACAAUUUAAUAGUAAAUAGCAAUAUUAGCAGCAUUCCAUCUAGUGCAAAAUAGGUCUUUCAAGCACAGUGGCCAAUGACCGUGGAGAAGUCUCCCAGGAAGGUUCUGGAACAGGUUCUUACAGGAAGGGCAGCCGAGAACAUCAAUGAUUAAAAGGGGGCUGAGAAGAGGAAACUGAUGGACAAAGAGGUGAGAAGUGGGAGAAAGAACGAAAAUCUGGAGGUUGGAGGAUAAACAAACCCACAUCCUUGUGGAUGAAGAAGGAUACCAAAAACUCAUUUUCCUGGAAGGAGCAAUUUUUGAAAUCAGCUACACUGAGGCUGCAGAUUGAGUGAAGGUCUUUUCCAUGUGAAUUUGUCCUGCAUCUGGGAUAAAGGUAUAAUGAUUACCUAAAGCAUGUUCUGUUCAUGGAAGAUCACUGGAACACAAAAGACCAAGCUCACAGCAUAUUCAAGACAUCUGCUCGUAUUCCACUGGCCAAAGAAAGUGAUGUGGCCCAGCCUAAAGUCAGGUUUUGUACUCCAGGCACUGUGCUAGGCACCAGGACUAUAAUACAACUUGUGAUCUGUAGAGGAGUCAGACAAUUAUCCAGGCAUCCCAAAGAAAUGUCAAUUGCAAGUAAGCAAAUUCUAUGAAAGCAAAAUACACAGCACACAACACUUCACCAUGGAUUUAACCUGGUCAGGAAGGUCUGGAAUAUGAUGACAGAGCUGUCUGAAGUUUGGGUAGGAAUUAACUAGUUGAAGAGGGGAAUUAGGAGGUUCUGGUUAGAGACCUGGGUUGUACAAAAGCACGUGUGUUCUCUCAGCCAAAACCAUACUGGGAUUUCUGUGGAGGUAUAGAGGGAGUGGGGAGAGUGUCCCUUUCAUGGCUUCUGGACUGAAAUCUAUCACUCAGGUCUUGGAAACUCUUUGGUCACCUGUGCUCCAAGUCUCACAUGGCCUCUCAGGUAAAGAUUGCUUUACCCUCUUUAUCUAAUCUUUCAAUACAUUUCUCAUUCUCCCUGCCCCUGCC
rnacentral:lncRNA from 1 species